ACCUUCGUGGUGUAGUGGUCAGCACGCUCGACGCGAAACCGAGAGGUCCGUGGUUCGAUUCCCGGCGAAGGCG
rnacentral:tRNA from 1 species